rnacentral:RNase_P_RNA from 1 species
CAAGUAGGCAAGGCAAUCGCCCCCUACCAAUAUAUUGGUGGGGGGAGGAAAGUCCGAACUUCCACUCCUCAUUUUAUGAGGGUUAAAAAGGUAGCGGGUAACGCCCGUCGGCCGUGAGGCUAGAGGUGCGAGCAGAGACGUUCCGAGCCAAAAGGCAAGGAAUACCCCUCAAUGGGGUGAGUCUAGGGAGUAAUCCUUAGGGUGAAACGGCUAAAUCCUUACUGGAAGCAAGAACAAACCAAAAGUUUUGCUUUAUAUGUAGAGCUUUUGUGAAAAGUAGUUCGCUUGAGCCUGAGAGUAAUUUCAGGCCCAGAUAGAUGAUUGCCCAAGACAGAAUUCGGCUUAUUGCCUGCUUGAGCU